rnacentral:rRNA from 1 species
CUGCUAUCGGAUGAUACUAAGCCAUGCGAGUCUUUGUAGUAAUACAAGGCAUACGGCUCAGUAACACGUAGUCAACCUACCCUAUGGACGAGAAUAAUCUCGGGAAACUGAGCAUAAUUCUUGAUAGAUCAUAAUGCCUGGAAUGGUUUAUGGUUAAAAUGAUUCGUCGCCAUAGGAUGGGACUGCGGCCUAUCAGCUUGUUGGUGAGGUAAUGGCCCACCAAGGCGAUUACAGGUACGGGCUCUGAGAGGAGAAGCCCGGAGAUGGGUACUGAGACACGGACCCAGGCCCUAUGGGGCGCAGCAGGCGAGAAAACUUUGCAAUGUGCGAAAGCACGACAAGGUUAAUCCGAGUGAUUUCUGCUAAAGAAAUCUUUUGCCAGUCAUAAAACCACUGGUGAAUAAGGGGUGGGCAAGUUCUGGUGUCAGCCGCCGCGGUAAAACCAGCACCUCAAGUGGUCAGGAUGAUUAUUGGGCCUAAAGCAUCCGUAGCCGGCUUUGUUAGUUUUCGGUUAAAUCCAUGUGCUCAACGCAUGGGCUGCCGAAAAUACUGCAUAGCUAGGGAGUGGGAGAGGUAGACGGUACUCAGUAGGAAGGGGUAAAAUCCUUUGAUCUAUUGAUGACCACCUGUGGCGAAGGCGGUCUACCAGAACACGUUCGACGGUGAGGGAUGAAAGCUGGGGGAGCAAACCGGAUUAGAUACCCGGGUAGUCCCAGCUGUAAACGAUGCAGACUCGAUGAUGCAUUGGCAUAAUAGCCAGUGCAGUGUCGCAGGGAAGCCGUUAAGUCUGCCGCCUGGGAAGUACGUACGCAAGUAUGAAACUU